CAAUGUGAGGGCGAUCUGGCUGCGACAUCUGUCACCCCAUUGAUCGCCAGGGUUGAUUCGGCUGAUCUGGCUGGCUAGGCGGGUGUCCCCUCCCUCCCUCACUGCUCCAUGUGCGUCCUUCCCGAAGCUGCGCACUCGGUGGAAGAGGACAACAUCUCAGGUAUAGAAAAGUACAAUGGA
rnacentral:snRNA from 1 species